UACAGAGGUGGCAAGCGUUGUUCGGAUUUACUGGGCGUAAAGGGUGCGUAGGCGGCCCUGUGUGUCGGAUGUGAAAGCCCACCGCUUAACGGUGGAAAGUCAUUCGAAACUGCAGGGCUAGAGUACAGGAGGGGAGAGCGGAAUUCUUGGUGUAGCGGUGAAAUGCGUUGAUAUCAAGAGGAACACCGGUGGCGUAAGCGGCUCUCUGGAAUGAUACUGACGCUGAGGCACGAGAGCUAGGGGAGCAAACAGG
rnacentral:rRNA from 1 species